ensembl:lncRNA
AGUACCCUAUGUAUGUUCUCUACACAAAAUGAUUUGUGUGUCUGUUGUAUCUAUGAUGUGAGUAUUCUGCGGCACCUUAAGUGUGUUAAAUGAUGACCCUUGUCUGAUUUUGUGCACUAAAUGUAUAUUGACUGCUAAAAAAGGAAUUAUAUUUUGAGUGGGUUGAAGUAAAAGAAAGAGAGAAUGUGUACACUGUCAUUUCAUACUGAUUUAACCACAAAGAAUUCCAAUCUGAAUUCAGAGUUAUCAUAGUAUGAUUCAAGUUGCAAAUAGAAUAAAUAAAUAAAGACAUAGAAGUAGGCAGUAAGUAGUCGUAGUGGUUUGGUAGUACGUGCCAUUUCACACUCCAGUUGUACAUGUUGUGAAAGUGUCAAAUCAUUUCUAGAGUUCAUCUUAUCCUCCCAUCACUAAAGCAUGUUGUUGCAACCACCUGAUAAAAUGGGGUAACAUUUAGACAUUCAGCAUAAGAGUAGCCGACCAUGGAAUGUAUCAGGUCUUGACCUGGCAUGGAGCUGGCUUUUAUACCUCUUAGGAGUUUCAUUGAGGCCAGUCAUGUAGUGCAAACACCUUCAGAUGUAAGUAUACCUCUGAAAAGGGCAUUUGUGUUGCAUGAACUGUUUUCUAAGAAAGAUGACAGAAACUUGCGCAAGUCUACCAUUGUGCAACACAAUUGUGCUUCCACAAAACAAGGGCAAGACCCAUCCUUUAUCUUUGUCUGACACUUGAAUAUUCACGGGUGGCCACCAUUGUAUAUAAGGACAUAAGCGCCUGAUUUCACACUUUCCAAUGAGGCAGUCGAGACAUAAUCUACAUCUCCUUUGUGCUAGCACAUCAUUAGUAUCUCCUUAGUAACGUCCGCCGCUGCCUUGGAGAAUGGACAAGGACAUCCUUUUUGAGGGCCUCUCGGCACUGGUCGGGGUCACCGUCAAGCCCCAGUCUGCAGCACCCCCUCCUCUUCUCAGGAGCUUUUCCGCUAGCCAGGCUCAUCCCGACAUACUCAGUGUGCAGGACCUGCUCACGGCAGUCUACUUUGACCAGGAGUUCUGGCAAGAUGUGAACUUCCGGAGGGUCGGCCUGCGCUCCAUGCCAGCCGUCCGCAGCGAUCUCUUUGUGAAUGACCAGCAUUUCUUUGACCCAGCGUGGGACUACGACUUCACCAACAUCUACGACACCACAACGUUCAUGAGGGGGAAUGAGGUGUACAAACGGCCCUGCGGGUGGAAGCGGUUCGCCCUCAAGGUUCUGGGGAAGUACCCCGACGGCAAUGCCUGGCUGGGCAAUGCAGGGUACCGCACCUACUCUGACCCGAACGAGUGGCCCGUGACCUAUCAUGGCACCUCUCUACCUGGAGCCCAUGGCAUCAUCAGCACCCACUACCUACCAGGCAGUGGGCAGACAUAUGGCAGGGGUAUCUACUCGACUCCUGAUGUGAAAGUGGCAGAAACGCACGGCUACGUCAAGACCUUCGUCUCCCAGAAGAAUGGGAAGACCUACAAAGUGUGCCUGCAGAACAGGAUCAACCAGAGAGUCAGGCAGGUUUGUGCCCGCCCAGAGUACUGGCUCGUGCCCAUCCCUGCAGGCACACCAGCCGAGUCAGAGAAGAAUAUCGUACUGGGCGCUAUUCGUCCAUACAGUCUCCUCCUGAAGGAAGCAUAAAAAUUGCCUGAUCAAAGUUCUCAUUUGCAGUUACAUAAAAUAAUUCCUAAAAUGUUGUCUCAGUCAACACACUCAGUGCAGUCAUUCAUUUCAUGUGUUAAUGUCAGGGCUCUGUGCUAAAAUGAAUAAAUGGCUUGAAAGUACAAA